AUUGAACGCUGGCGGCAUGCUUUACACAUGCAAGUCGAACGGCAGCGCGGGCUUCGGCCUGGCGGCGAGUGGCGAACGGGUGAGUAAUGCAUCGGAACGUGCCCAGUAGUGGGGGAUAGCCCGGCGAAAGCCGGAUUAAUACCGCAUACGACCUGAGGGUGAAAGCGGGGGACCGAAAGGCCUCGCGCUAUUGGAGCGGCCGAUGUCGGAUUAGCUAGUUGGUGGGGUAAAGGCUUACCAAGGCGACGAUCCGCAGCUGGUCUGAGAGGACGACCAGCCACAAUGGGACUGGGACGCGGCCGGGACGCCUCAGGGAGGCAGCAGUGGGGAAUGUGGGACAAUGGGGGCAACCUUGAUCCAGCCAUGCCGCGUGGGGGAAGAAGGCCUUCGGGUUGUAAAGCGCUUUUGUUCGGGAAGAAAGCCUCUGGGCUAAUACCCCGGGGGGAUGACGGUACCGGAAGAAUAAGCACCGGCUAACUACGUG
rnacentral:rRNA from 1 species